UCCACCAAAUACAUGCAGGGAUUGCUCCCCACCAUCUCUUUAUAACUUGCUACCACCUCUCCCAAUCCAACAACUAAGGAGGUCUGCAGUGUGUUCUGGCAUAGUCCACUUGAUAACCCAAAGACUAAAAAAAAGUGACCACAAGUGGCCAGUCACCUUGCAAUGCAUAAAUAAAUGGAUGUUUGUCUCUGCAUACUCAUUACAAAGAAAACAUUGUGAUGCUAUUUGGAUUCCUCUCUUCAGAAGGGCUUCAUGUGUUAGGCGAGCUUUUCUGACUACCAGCCAAGUGAAGCAUUUGAUUUAGUAGGGACCAGACAAUCCCACACCUUUGACC
rnacentral:lncRNA from 1 species